rnacentral:rRNA from 1 species
UUGUACACACCGCCCGUCGCUACUACCGAUUGAAUGGCUCAGUGAGGCUUCCGGACUGGCCCAGGGAGGUCGGCAACGACCACCCAGGGCCGGAAAGCUAUCCAAACUCGGUCAUUUAGAGGAAGUAAAAGUCGUAACAAGGUCUCCGUUGGUGAACCAGCGGAGGGAUCAUUA